rnacentral:rRNA from 2 species
UACGUAGGGUGCAGGCGUUAAUCGGAAUUACUGGGCGUAAAGCGUGCGCAGGCGGUUUGCUAAGACAGGUGUGAAAUCCCCGAGCUUAACUUGGGAAUUGCGCUUGUAACUGGCAAGCUAGAGUGUGGCAGAGGGGGGUGGAAUUCCACGUGUAGCAGUGAAAUGCGUAGAUAUGUGGAGGAACACCGAUGGCGAAGGCAGCCCCCUGGGUUAACACUGACGCUCAUGCACGAAAGCGUGGGGAGCAAACAGG